rnacentral:rRNA from 1 species
UACGUAGGGGGCAAGCGUUAUCCGGAUUUACUGGGUGUAAAGGGAGCGUAGGCGGCAAGGUAAGCCAGAAGUGAAAGCCCGCGGCUCAACUGCGGGACUGCUUUUGGAACUAUCUAGCUAGAUUGCAGGAGAGGUAAGUGGAAUUCCUAGUGUAGCGGUGAAAUGCGUAGAUAUUAGGAGGAACACCAGUGGCGAAGGCGGCUUACUGGACUGUAAAUGACGCUGAGGCUCGAAAGCGUGGGGAGCAAAUAGG